rnacentral:lncRNA from 1 species
AUUCUUCUGGACAAUGAGUCCCAUCAUCUCUCCACCAUGCACCUUGUGACUCCCUCCUCUGCUGACAACAGAUAACCACCUUUAACUCCUGUUUAGGUGGUCUUCUAUACGGACAUGCUUGACACUUGGUGCCAAAAUCUGGGCCAGGGGGACUCCUUCGUGAGACCGGCCCCCUGUCCUGGCCCUCAUUCCGUGAAGAGAUCCACCUGCGACCUCGGGUCCUCAGACCAGCCCAAGGAACAUCUCACCAAUUUCAAAUCGGCCCCUUCUAGGGUCCCUGGAGCUCUGGCUCAAAGCUCUCUGGCUGACUCCUUCCCAGAUCUCCUCGGCUUAGUGGCUGAAGACUGAUGCUGCCCGAUCGCCUCAGAAGCCCCUUGGACCAUCACAGAUGCCGAGCUUCGGGUAACUCUUACGGUGGAGGAUUCCCAGCCAUAUGAAGACACCCUAGCUGGACGAUCAGUCCUUGUCAAAAGUCUGACCCCUCAAACUCUACAGCCUCAAUGGACCAGACCCUACCCGGUCAUUUAUAGCACACCAACUGCCGUCCAUCUGCAGGACCCUCUCCAUUGGGUUCACCAUUCCAGAAUAAAGCCAUGCCCAUCAGACAGCCAGCUUGAUCUCUCCUCUUCCUCCUGGAAGCCACAAGAUUAGGCCGAGAGCCGAUCAGACAAACAACCUACAACCCUUAAGCUCCUGGCAGCGCCCAGCCAAGGCCAUGCUUCCUUGCAACACUCCUUCCAAAUGGCCAUCCCAGCAUGCUUCCAAGCAGGCUUCAUCCGUUCCUCUGGACCCUCAUCUCUUAAGACCUGCCGCCUAUAAAAAGGAUUAUAUCUUGAGACCCUAUCCUCUAAAAUUUUUUCCACACCCAAAACAAAAAA